CGAUGAACCUCCUUCGGGAGGGGAUUAGUGGCGAACGGGUGAGUAACACGUGGGCAAUCUGCCCUGCACUCUGGGACAAGCCCUGGAAACGGGGUCUAAUACCGGAUACGAGUUUCACAGGCAUCUGGGAUUCUGGAAAGCUCCGGCGGUGCAGGAUGAGCCCGCGGCCUAUCAGCUUGUUGGUGAGGUAACGGCUCACCAAGGCGACGACGGGUAGCCGGCCUGAGAGGGCGACCGGCCACACUGGGACUGAGACACGGCCCAAACUAAUACGGGAGGCAGCAGUGGGGAAUAUUGCACAAUGGGCGCAAGCCUGAUGCAGCGACGCCGCGUGAGGGAUGACGGCCUUCGGGUUGUAAACCUCUUUCAGCAGGGAAGAAGCGAAAGUGACGGUACCUGCAGAAGAAGCGCCGGCUAACUACGUGCCAGCAGCCGCGGUAAUACGUAGGGCGCAAGCGUUGUCCGGAAUUAUUGGGCGUAAAGAGCUCGUAGGCGGCUUGUCGCGUCGGAUGUGAAAGCCCGGGGCUUAACCCCGGGUCUGCAUUCGAUACGGGCAGGCUAGAGUUCGGUAGGGGAGAUCGGAAUUCCUGGUGUAGCGGUGAAAUGCGCAGAUAUCAGGAGGAACACCGGUGGCGAAGGCGGAUCUCUGGGCCGAUACUGACGCUGAGGAGCGAAAGCGUGGGGAGCGAACAGGAUUAGAUACCCUGGUAGUCCACGCCGUAAACGGUGGGCACUAGGUGUGGGCAACAUUCCACGUUGUCCGUGCCGCAGCUAACGCAUUAAGUGCCCCGCCUGGGGAGUAC
rnacentral:rRNA from 1 species